GAUGAAGAACGCAGCGAAAUGCGAUAAGUAAUGUGAAUUGCAGAAUUCAGUGAAUCAUCGAGUCUUUGAACGCACAUUGCGCCCCCUGGUAUUCCGGGGGGCAUGCCUGUCCGAGCGUCAUUGCUGCCCUCAAGCACGGCUUGUGUGUUGGGCCCCCGUCCCCGGUUUCCCCCGGGGACGGGCCCGAAAGGCAGCGGCGGCACCGCGUCCGGUCCUCGAGCGUAUGGGGCUUUGUCACCCGCUCUGUAGGCCCGGCCGGCGCCAGCCGACACCCAACUUUAUUUCUAAGGUUGACCUCGGAUCAGGUAGGGAUACCCGCUGAACUUAAGCAUAUCAAUAAGCGGAGGA
rnacentral:misc_RNA from 1 species